rnacentral:rRNA from 1 species
GAUUCGUCACACUAUCAUUAACUGAAUCCAUAGGUUAAUGAGGCGAACCGGGGGAACUGAAACAUCUAAGUACCCCGAGGAAAAGAAAUCAACCGAGAUUCCCCCAGUAGCGGCGAGCGAACGGGGAGGAGCCCAGAGCCUGAAUCAGCAUGUGUGUUAGUGGAAGCGUCUGGAAAGGCGCGCGAUACAGGGUGACAGCCCCGUACACAAAAGCGCAUGUGCUGUGAGCUCGAUGAGUAGGGCGGGACACGUGGUAUCCUGUCUGAAUAUGGGGGGACCAUCCUCCAAGGCUAAAUACUCCUGACUGACCGAUAGUGAACCAGUACCGUGAGGGAAAGGCGAAAAGAACCCCGGCGAGGGGAGUGAAAAAGAACCUGAAACCGUGUACGUACAAGCAGUGGGAGCACCCUUCGGGGUGUGACUGCGUACCUUUUGUAUAAUGGGUCAGCGACUUAUAUUCUGUAGCAAGGUUAACCGUAUAGGGGAGCCGGAGGGAAACCGAGUCUUAAUUGGGCGUUAAGUUGCAGGGUAUAGACCCGAAACCCGGUGAUCUAGCCAUGGGCAGGUUGAAGGUUGGGUAACACUAACUGGAGGACCGAACCGACUAAUGUUGAAAAAUUAGCGGAUGACCUGUGGCUGGGGGUGAAAGGCCAAUCAAACCGGGAGAUAGCUGGUUCUCCCCGAAAGCUAUUUAGGUAGCGCCUCGUGAAUUCAUCUCCGGGGGUAGAGCACUGUUUCGGCUAGGGGGCCAUCCCGGCUUACCAACCCGAUGCAAACUGCGAAUACCGGAGAAUGUUAUCACGGGAGACACACGGCGGGUGCUAACGUCCGUCGUGAAGAGGGAAACAACCCAGACCGCCAGCUAAGGUCCCAAAGUCAUGGUUAAGUGGGAAACGAUGUGGGAAGGCCCAGACAGCCAGGAUGUUGGCUUAGAAGCAGCCAUCAUUUAAAGAAAGCGUAAUAGCUCACUGGUCGAGUCGGCCUGCGCGGAAGAUGUAACGGGGCUAAACCAUGCACCGAAGCUGCGGCAGCGAACGUAUCACCCAAGACAACUUUACGGAGUUGACGAUUGACGGAGCGAAGCGACGUCAAAGCGUUCAUUAAAGUCGAGUUGGCUUAGGGAUACGUUCGUUGGGUAGGGGAGCGUUCUGUAAGCCUGUGAAGGUGUGUCGUGAGGCAUGCUGGAGGUAUCAGAAGUGCGAAUGCUGACAUAAGUAACGAUAAAGCGGGUGAAAAGCCCGCUCGCCGGAAGACCAAGGGUUCCUGUCCAACGUUAAUCGGGGCAGGGUGAGUCGACCCCUAAGGCGAGGCCGAAAGGCGUAGUCGAUGGGAAACGGGUUAAUAUUCCCGUACUUGGUGUUACUGCGAAGGGGGGACGGAGAAGGCUAUGUUGGCCGGGCGACGGUUGUCCCGGUUUAAGCGUGUAGGUGUGUGUUCCAGGUAAAUCCGGUUCACUUUAACACUGAGGCGUGACGAC